GAUUAACGCUGGCGGCGUGCAUAACACAUGCAAGUCGAACGAUGAAACUUAAAUGAUUUCUUCGGAAUGAACUUAAGUGGAUUAGUGGCGGACGGGUGAGUAACGCGUGAGUAACCUGCCUUACACAAGGGGAUAGCCGUUGGAAACGACGAAUAAUACCCUAUGAAACUAUCACUUCGCAUGAAGCAAUAGUCAAAGUGUUAGCGGUGUAAGAUGGACUUGCGUCUGAUUAGCUAGUUGGUGAGAAAAAAGCCCACCAAGGCAACGAUCAGUAGCCGGCUUGAGAGAGUGUACGGCCACAUUGGGACUGAGGCACGGCCCAGACUCCUACGGGAGGCAGCAGUGGGGAAUUUUGCACAAUGGGGGAAACCCUGAUGCAGCGACGCCGCGUGAUUUAGAAGGCCUUCGGGUUGUAAAAAUCUUUUGUAUAGGAAGAAAAUGACAGUACUAUACGAAUAAGGUCCGGCUAAUUACGU
rnacentral:rRNA from 1 species